rnacentral:hammerhead_ribozyme from 1 species
CAAUUGAUGAGGAAUCCCACAAAAGGACGAAACGGCCGUCCAGUGC